rnacentral:rRNA from 1 species
AAGCCUAAGUACUCGUGCAUCACCGAUAGCGAACCAGUACCGUGAGGGAAAGGUGAAAAGCACCCCGACAAGGGGAGUGAAAUAGUACCUGAAACCGUGUGCCUACAAGCGGUCGGAGCGGACUUGUUCCGUGACGGCGUACCUUUUGUAUAAUGGGUCAGCGAGUUAUUGUCAGUAGCAAGGUUAACCGUUUAGGGGAGCCGUAGGGAAACCGAGUCUUAAUAGGGCGUUUUAGUUGCUGGUAAUAGACCCGAAACCGGGCGAUCUAGCCAUGGCCAGGUUGAAGGUGCCGUAACAGGCACUGGAGGACCGAACCCACCUAUGUUGAAAAAUGGGGGGAUGAGCUGUGGCUCGGAGUGAAAGGCUAAUCAAGCCCGGAGAUAGCUGGUUCUCCUCGAAAACUAUUUAGGUAGUGCCUCGCGUUUGACUGCUGGGGGUAGAGCACUGUGUCGGCUAGGGGGUCAUCCCGACUUACCAACCCAUUGCAAACUCCGAAUACCGUAAAGUAAUAUCCGGGAGACACACGGCGGGUGCUAACGUCCGUCGUGAAGAGGGAAACAACCCAGACCGCCAGCUAAGGUCCCAAAGUCAUAGUUAAGUGGGAAACGAUGUGGAAAGGCC